GCAGAAGCUGCUUUUCUGAAGGAAUGAGAAGAUUGGUUGGAACACUGAUCUUUUCUUUCAUUAAAAGCCAACAUUUUGAGUGGCUUCUACUUUCGAUUUCCCCAGAUAUACCAUGAAAUGGAAACAAAUCAUAUGGAAUGUGUUGCUGAAACUGAAAAGUUUCUCAGCUCUCUAUUGCCC